rnacentral:lncRNA from 1 species
CACGAUUCAGCUCACAGUAGCCUCUGUCAGGACAUAACGUUUACAUUGUGAUCCCAGUAACCUCGCAAUAGAGGGAAUGACAUGCAAAGAUUCUGAGGAAGAAAAUUCCAGGCAGGGAAUUCUGUUGAGCAAUGGCCCUGAAAUGGGAGUGAACAGGGUGCGUUUGAGGAACCAGAGACCAGUGGCAGAGGGCAUGGGGUGCAGAAUGCAAAGGGAGGACAUGAAGUCGCAGAGUUCCGGUAUAAGACAUCAUCCAGCCACUUGUCCAGGGAGCACAUCCCAAUCCAGUUCCUGACCAGACAGGGAUCUGCCACUCUUUCCAGCUGGGUGACCUGGUAUAUGUUAAAAAGUUCCAGAAGGAAGGACUCACUCCUGCCUGGAAAGGACCUCAUACUGUUAUCCUCACCAUGCCAAAAGCUCUGAAAGUAGACAGCAUUCCUGCUUGGAUUCAUCACCCUCACAUCAAGAAGACCAACAAAGCCCAGCAAGAAACAUGGGUCCCCAAGCCUGGGACAGGCCCCUUAAAACUGUGUCUAAGUCGACUGAAGCCAUUAAAUUAAUUCUUUACCUCUUUUGUUUGUUUCAGCCUGUCAUGCCUUCUGCUCCUUCCUACUCUUUUCUCCUUACUUCUUUCACGACAGGACGUGUGUUUGCAAACACCACCUGGAAGGCGGGGACCUCCAAGGAAGUCUCUUUUGCAGUUGAUUUAUGUGCUCUGUUCCCAGAGCCUGCCCAUACCCUCGAAGAGCAACACAAUCUGCUGAUCAUAGGAGCAGGAAACAUCAACUUUGCUGCAGG